UAACCGAAGCCGGGGACAUGGCAACCCGC
rnacentral:sRNA from 1 species